rnacentral:lncRNA from 1 species
GUGAAGAGUCCGGGAAAGGAGGACAAUGACCAAGGAAGGCCUUGAAGGAUGAGUCCUGCACCGUUGGUCAUGAAUCUGCACCAGUUAACCAAACUACAGGAGGGAUAAGUGAAGUCUGUGGUGAACACAUUGGGUUUAGUGUCCACAGAGUAUCCUGAGAAGAUCCACUGGAAGAGGGAGAUGUGAAUCUGUUACUUGGGGGAAAAGCCUGAGCCAAAGGUCAAAAGCUAACUAAACAGCCAGGCAGCACCACCCCACAGGAGAGGCAAGAAUGCUAACAUGCAGAGACAGCAGUGAACAUGAAGAUUCUCUCCAAGUCCCCAGAAUUCUCAUCUUGUCUUCUGAAGAGGUUAUGUCAUCGUGAAGAAAGGGCAGUUGUUUUUAUUCAGGCAAGAUGGAUCAAUGGAUUAAAAGAAACCACUGGUCACA